rnacentral:tRNA from 4 species
GCGGGCGUGGCGGAAUUGGCAGACGCGUACGGUUCAGGUCCGUAUGAGGGUUCCCUCAUGAAGGUUCAAGUCCUUUCGCCCGCACCA